AUUGAACGCUGGCGGAAUGCUUUACACAUGCAAGUCGAACGGCAGCACGGGAGCUUGCUCCUGGUGGCGAGUGGCGAACGGGUGAGUAAUGCAUCGGAACGUACCUAUUAGUGGGGGAUAACUAUCCGAAAGGAUAGCUAAUACCGCAUACGUCCUGAGGGAGAAAGCGGGGGAUCGCAAGACCUCGCGCUAAUAGAGCGGCCGAUGUUGGACUAGCUAGUUGGUGGGGUAAAGGCCUACCAAGGCGACGAUACAUAGCUGGUCUGAGAGGAUGAUCAGCACAACUGGGAGGAGGACACGGCCCAGACUCCUACGGGAGGCAGCGGUGGGGAAAUUUGGACAAUGGGGGCAACCCUGAUCCAGCCAUUCCGCGUGAGUGAAGAAGGCCUUCGGGUUGUAAAGCUCUUUCGGCAGGAACGAAACGGUGGUUACUAAUACUAGCUACUAAUGACGGUACCUGAAGAAGAAGCACCGGCUAACUACGUGCCAGCAGCCGCCGUAA
rnacentral:rRNA from 1 species